rnacentral:rRNA from 1 species
AUUUUUAGUAGAUAGAAUUCCCUUCGGGGCUUUCUGUCAAGGUGCUGCAUGGUUGUCGUCAGCUCGUGCCGUGAGGUGUCGGGUUAAGUCCCAUAACGAGCGCAACCCUUAUCGUUAGUUGCCAGCUGGUAAAGCAGGGGACUCUAGCGAAACUGCCACCGUAAGGUGAGAGGAAGGUGGGGGAUGACGUCAAAUCAGCAGGCCCUUAUGGGUAGGGCUUCACACGUAAUACAAUGGUCGGUACAGAGGGUUGCCAACCCGCGAGGGGGGAGCCAAUCCCAGAAAACCGAUCGUAGUCCGGAUUGCAGUCUGCAACUCGACUGCAUGAAGUCGGAAUCGCUAGUAAUCGCGGAUCAGCAUGUCGCGGUGAAUACGUUCCCGGGCCUU